UACGUAGGGGGCAAGCGUUGUCCGGAUUUACUGGGCGUAAAGAGCGUGUAGGCGGCCACGCAGGUCCGUUGUGAAAACUGGAGGCUCAACCUUCAGACGUCGACGGAAACCGUGUGGCUAGAGUCCGGAAGAGGAGAGUGGAAUUCCUGGUGUAGCGGUGAAAUGCGCAGAUAUCGGGAGGAACACCGGUGGCGAAGGCGGUUCUCUGGGCCUUACCUGACGCUGAGGAGCGAAAGCGUGGGGAGCGAACAGG
rnacentral:rRNA from 1 species